AAACUCAGCCCUUCAGGAAGAACCUCUUUUAUCCCCUUAUUUAUUAGAGUGUAGCUCGCUGGUUCCCUCGUCUAAAGGCUGGCUGUAAGAUCACACACUGACAAGUUCAGACUGAAUCUUGUUUUUUUCUUAGAGUCAGCGUGUGUGAUGGCAGAGCGAGCAAUCAGUGUGCUUUCAGGUUGGGCUUUUCAAUCGUCCAAAAGAAACUGUGCAGAAGAGCAAUGUGAUUAUAGGCCCGAGAAAGAAACCCAGCCACGCAGACACGUUGUUGGAGGUUUGACUGGGGAAGAAGAUGUAAAAAUACUGCUGUUAAGCUUCAGAGAUGGAUUUGUGAUUUCCUCAAACUACAGCAUGUGUGCAAUUAUGUCUUUGAGACCACAAUUUCACAAACACACACAAACAGAACACGCUAUUCAAAAUAACUGUUCCAUGAAAAAAGAAGGUCCAAAUUCUCCAAAUUACCUUUCUGAAAAAAACAUUAAUAUAAAGUUGCUUGAAAGAAAAAGAGGGAAACAAAUAAUAAGCCCACAAGUGGAAGACAGUCCCAACCUUGUAGCAAAACAAUUUUUUUUAAAUCUACGUAUGACAACACAGCAUAAAAUAUUGUGAAAAACUGAGUUAUUUUUUGUUAUUAAAAUACCCACAUUUUCAACAUAUGAGUGUUUUAAAUUUGAGGUGUCCAUUCAGUCAAAAUGAUGUAAUUCAUUUCCAGGACACACGGACCCAUUUUUUUGUAUUAACAUGAACUGAUUGUAAGAUCUGAUGUUUUGGCAGAAAACAAAUUAAAUAUGUUGUUGUAGGUUGUUAUUUGUAGGUUAAUAACAUUUUCUCCUUAUGUUAACAGAAAAACAUGAUCAGGUAGCCAUUCCAUUUCCCCUCAAGUCCUACAUAAACGAAAAUCCUUGAGCCUUCAUCAAAUCUGUAAAGACAACGUGAACAGCACUGUAUAACCUCUGAUUUAAACUCGUGACAUGCGUGUUCAGUAAAAGUCAGAACCAGACUGAGUGUAUUGAUCUGUGUUUCUCCGUGGAGGCUCCGAGCUCAGUGGCAGGACAGUUCAGACACUGUUUGGCAUUCAGAAGACCGAAGACACUGAACUUUAGAAUCCAUCGAUAGGAGACACAGAGGAAGAAGUGGGAAGGGAAUGAGUAAACAAACACGGUAGGGGAAGAGCGAGUGGGACGGAAACAGAAUGAGAGAGUGGAGCGAGGUGCUAAAUGAGAAGGAGGGAAGUGGCCGGCUCCGUUGUGGGUUGUUUCAGAUGUAGGGAUUGGUUUGCGGGCAGAGACACACCAGCAGCCUACAGAUAAAGACUCGAGUGCAGAAUAAAUAAUUGGAGUUGACUUGACGCUCCAAGAACAUGGUGUGCAAGAUGACACCGAGGUGUAAUUCUGAAUUAGAAUUUUCAGCAUUCAUACCGGCAUCUGUUGACAGUUUGAGUCAACACCUCUGGAUGCAUUUAUAUUUUGUUUCUAGCUGUCCUUGUGGUUUUUUUUUUGUUUUUUUUAACUUUUAUUAGAAGUGAAGGAAAACAUAAAUCCAAUGAAUUAUUGAUAGGGCUUUGAUUAAAAUUUCAUAUUUCAUAUUCUUUCAUUUUGUAUUUCCAAAAUUGAUCAAAAGACUCUGUGAGAAGGGCUCACUUUUUUAUGAGAAAACCCAGAGAGAUUUAACACAGUUUUAGUUCUCCUCAGCUUUAAAGAGCAUUUUAGUGUCUUUCAGCUCUUUGUUUUGGUUUUCAAGCGCCACAACAUUACGAUAAUGUCAUAUUUUCAUUCCGGCUGCAGCAGGCAACAAAAAGAAACACUGAGGUGACCACAGACAGGACUCCAGUUGAAUAAUAAUGUUGCUUUUUGUGCGUCAUAUGAUGUGUUAGUAAGCAACCCCAUGUCAAAUGUUUUGAUUACAGCCUAUUCUGCUGCUCCCAAGGGACCAAAAAAAAUCAAUCAAUACAGAUUUAGAAUGAGGAUUAAAUGGAAAAAAAAAGAUUAUAUAGCCCUCAUCAGUGGGUAUGCUUCAUUCAUCCACAUCGAACUGUUGCAAUUUGCCAAGUGUUUGUUUCAUAUAUUUUAGCUCAUUGAGCAAACCCUGGUAAAAAUGAAUGAAUGAUUUGCAUUAAAAUGUAUGCAAAAUCACUGUAAAACACCUUUCCCAGUCGAGGCCAAUAUAAACUCAUAGCUGUUGUUGUAACUAUUUGGAGUACGGGGAUGUUUUGGGUUCUUUUGAAAGGUUACAAGCUGAAUUAUUUUUCCCAUCAAAACCUCUGUAAGUGCUCCUGGCAUUAUUCUACAGGCGUCUGAACACACUGAGCUGUUCUCAUUUAUUUUUCUUGCCGGAAUUGUUUAAUGCAAUAAUAAGCCUACAGAUUACCUGCAACUGCCAGUAAAGAUAAAUUAUCUCACAUUAGAUAAUGGUAUCACUGAAAAUGAACCCCUAACACAUUAUUAGAAUGUGAUUUUUAACCAGCCUGGGAAGCCAAACAUGUCAGGGUGUAACCACUUGAUGAACAAUGCUGGAGUGGGAAAGACUCAUUUCAGUAUGAACCAGUUUACUGCAGACAGACUUAGUAUGGAGGCCACAAUGUAGUGUACGCACACACCAAGCACCGGAAUACAUCCAUUAGAAUAAUGAAAAUACGUUGUGUGGGGAAUUUUAAGAUGCUCACAUCAGUGUCUGGUGUGUGCUUGUGCAUUCAUGAUGACCUUUUGCCCGGAUCCCGCAGGACUGUUUCUCUGAGAAAAUGAAGGAAGAGGUGCGACGUGCUCACAUGAAUGAGAACUCAGCAGGACAGUGUCCAUGAAGGAGAGCGGGGCUGCACGGACAAUGGAUUGACACCGACAAAUGGUGGUAAAUGAAAUCACAGGCUGGCAACUCCACCCCAGGAGCCUGUACAUGAACACAGAUAUCAAAACUAUUGAAUGAAGUCGUGUGUUCUGAUGACGCUCUACGCUGCCUCUUCCUGCUGAAACUGUCAGAGAUGAUUGCUGCGUGUGAUCUCAUUCUAAAGGAACGUGACAGUCUCAGUCAGCAUGCCUGCUUUUGCGUGCAUAAUUCUUGGUUUAUACAAAGUACAACUGGCCGAGAAGAAAUGCAGCCACAUUGUUGGUAAAUUAUAGUAAUUUAAAUUUCCAUAAUGUUUUGACCUGAGA